AACCUCCGCAAUGUGAGAAAUCGCGACGGGGGGAUCCCAAGUGCCAUUCUUAACGGGAUGGCUUUUCUUAAGUGUAAAAAGCUUUUGGAAUAAGAGCUGGGCAAGACCGGUGCCAGCCGCCGCGGUAACACCGGCAGCUCUAGUGGUAGCUGUUUUUAUUGGGCCUAAAGCGUCCGUAGCCGGUUUAAUAAGUCUCUGGUGAAAUCCUGUAGCUUAACUGUGGGAAUUGCUGGAGAUACUAUUAGACUUGAGACCGGGAGAGGUUAGAGGUACUCCCAGGGUAGAGGUGAAAUUCUGUAAUCCUGGGAGGACCGCCUGUUGCGAAGGCGUCUAACUGGAACGGUUCUGACGGUGAGGGACGAAAGUUAGGGGCGCGAACCGGAUUAGAUACCCGGGUAGUCCUAACUGUAAACGAUGCGGACUUGGUGUUGGGGUGGCUUUGAGCUGCUCCAGUGCCGAAGGGAAGCUGUUAAGUCCGCCGCCUGGGAAGUACGGUCGCAAGACUGAAACUUAAAGGAAUU
rnacentral:rRNA from 1 species